rnacentral:sRNA from 1 species
ACUAAUUAGAAAUACAGGGGCGGGAUCUCCUGCCCUCUCGAUUGUCGGGAAGCAUGGACAGACUCUACGCUGAGUGGCUCGUUCCCCACUCAGCGCGAAAAAUGAGCUUCUCACCAAUCUUCGAGGGUAGCGCUGCUACCCUUUUUUUUCUG